rnacentral:rRNA from 1 species
AUUGAACGCUGGCGGCAGGCUUAACACAUGCAAGUCGAGCGGGGUGAUGGUGCUUGCACUAUCACUUAGCGGCGGACGGGUGAGUAAUGCUUAGGAAUCUGCCUAUUAGUGGGGGACAACAUCUCGAAAGGGAUGCUAACACCGCAUACGUCCUACGGGAGAAAGCAGGGGAUCACUUGUGACCUUGCGCUAAUAGAUGAGCCUCAGUCGGAUUAGCUAGUUGGUGGGGUAAAGGCCUACCAAGGCGACGAUCUGUAGCGGGUCUGAGAGGAUGAUCCGCCACACUGGGACUGAGACACGGCCCAGACUCCUACGGGAGGCAGAAGUGGGGAAUAUUGGACAAUGGGGGGAACCCUGAUCCAGCCAUGCCGCGUGUGUGAAGAAGGCCUUAUGGUUGUAAAGCACUUUAAGCGAGGAGGAGGCUCUUUUGGUUAAUACCCAAGAUGAGUGGACGUUACUCGCAGAAUAAGCACCGGCUAACUCUGUGCCAGCCGCCGCCGUAA